UACGAAGGGGGCUAGCGUUGUUCGGAUUUACUGGGCGUAAAGCGCACGUAGGCGGAUCGAUCAGUCAGGGGUGAAAUCCCAGAGCUCAACUCCAGAACUGCCUUUGAUACUGGCGAUCUCGAGUCCGGGAGAGGUGAGUGGAACUGCGAGUGUAGAGGUGAAAUUCGUAGAUAUUCGCAAGAACACCAGUGGCGAAGGCGGCUCACUGGCCCGAUACUGACGCUGAGGUGCGAAAGCGUGGGGAGCAAACAGG
rnacentral:rRNA from 1 species